GUGAAGAAGGCUUUUGGGUUGUAAAAGUAGGUUUUUAGGGAAGAACAAGGUAUAGUUGAAUAAGCGGGCACCUUGACGGUACCUACCCAAAAAGCCCCGGCUAACUACGUGCCAGCAGCCGCGGUAAUACGUAGGUGGCAAGCGUUAUUCGGAAUUAUUGGGCGUAAAGCGCGCGCAGGUGGUUUGUUAAGUAAGAUGUGAAAGCCCACGGCUCAACCGUGGAGGGUCAUUGGAAACUGGGAGACUUGAGUGCAGAAGAGGAAAGUGGAAUUCCAUGUGUAGCAGGUGAAAUGCGUAGAGAUAUGGAGGAACACCAGUGGGGAAGCAGCCUUUCUGGUCUGUACUACAU
rnacentral:rRNA from 1 species